GACGAACGCUGGCGGCGUGCUUAACACAUGCAAGUCGAACGGAAAGGCCCUGCUUUUGUGGGGUGCUCGAGUGGCGAACGGGUGAGUAACACGUGAGUAACCUGCCCUUGACUUUGGGAUAACUUCAGGAAACUGGGGCUAAUACCGGAUAGGAGCUCCUGCUGCAUGGUGGGGGUUGGAAAGUUUCGGCGGUUGGGGAUGGACUCGCGGCUUAUCAGCUUGUUGGUGGGGUAGUGGCUUACCAAGGCUUUGACGGGUAGCCGGCCUGAGAGGGUGACCGGCCACAAUGGGACUGAGGUACGGCCCAGACUCCUACGGGAGGCAGCAGUGGGGAAUAUUGCACAAUGGGCGGAAGCCUGAUGCAACAACGCCGCGUGCGGGAUGACGGCCUUCGGGUUGUAAACCGCUUUCGCCUGUGACGAAGCGUGAGUGACGGUAAUGGGUAAAGAAGCACCGGCUAACUACGUG
rnacentral:rRNA from 1 species